AUCCCAGCCUCGCUGGGAGCGUACCCGGGGGCGGGGCUUAGGAUUGACGGCUCGCGCCCUCCCGUCCCUUCCCCCGGGCCGCGCUGGCCCCGCCUCCCGGCCGCUCCGUAAGGAGAGUGAACUCCCUGAGACUAGGGGCCAUAUAUCUUCGUGUCCUCAGCAGGACCCAGCACAAGACUGGUACAAGGCACGCUUCAGCAAAUGUUUGUUAAAUGGGUGCAAAAAAUCAAAUUCCAGUCUGCCUGCCUCCAAGGCCUACAUGUCUGACCACCAUGCCACACUGCUCCAGUGAAGACUCACUCACAGACUGAUGGAAGACUGCUGAACCAAGAAAAAUGAUCUUAUCUCAUGCUUCAGUGACAAAAUAAAAGCCAUCAGACAUGGGAGAAUUGUUCCAGGACCUUCAUCUUCCCACCACUGAAUCCCUAAACCUCCCAGUAUCUGUGUUCAUCUUUUGUUUCAUUCCUUCCUGUUACAAUGAAGGGCCUGAGGACCUCUCCUUCUCUCUGAGGCCCAGUGCCCCAGACCCCAGCCCCUCCUUUCCCUUCCAUUAUUCCCUUUCUCUUCUGUGUUCCCGUCCGGUCCCUCUCUAUGGUCUCUGGGUCUUUCCCAGCAGCAAACAAGUAUAGUCUAGUAUCUCCCAUCUUAGAAAAAUCAUUCUUUGCCCCUCCUCCUACCAUCACCUUAACUCUCUGGGCUCUGUUCCCAUUCACAGCCAUGUUUCACAAGGAAAUUGCCUACACACCUAGCUCCACUUUAGCAGGAUAGGGGGCAGUGUUUUAUUCCCUCUGACCUCAGGGAGGGUCCUGUAACAAUCUACCCUCCCACCAGCACUCUAUCCAAUUAUUCCUGCUUUUCAAAUUUUAUUUAUUUUUCAUGAUAAUACAUUAUAAAUUUUAUAAUAUACAUAUCUGUACAGUUUGAAUAAAUUAUAAAACAAAUACCUAUGUACCUGUACCCAUCACCCAGCUUCAAAAACAAAUCAUUUCUGAAUGACAAAACCCGCCAUGUAGCCCUCCCCAGUCACAUCUCCUUCCCCUCCCUGAGGUAACCAGUGUCAUUUUUCAUGCCUUGCUUUUUUGUAUGGUUUUACAACAUAUUACUGCAUCCAUAUAUUGUAUAAUUUUGAAUGUUCAACUUUAUAUAAACAUAUUCUUUCAUGACUUUUUUGAAUCAGUAUUAGGUUUCCUGAGUUUUAUCCAUG